rnacentral:sRNA from 1 species
GAAAAUUUAAAAAUCUAUGUGUAUUUUCUUGCUAGUGCUGGUACUUGAAUAUCUGUAUCAUCCACCUAUCCAUCCACCUACCCAUAUUUCUAUAAUCCACCGUCCAUCUACAUGCCUAUCAUCUGUCCACCAUUUCUCUCUGUCUAAUUUUCAAAACAUCCUGUAAGUUUAUAUAAAGGAAGAUUUUUCUUCUUGGGAAGUUCUCUAAGGCUGACAAGUUAUCUGGCAUGACUGUGGCGGAUGCCCAUAGCCAGGUGAUCCUCGGGGUACAGAUGGGGGAGGAGCACUUGUGAGAAACACCUGAAGUGCUUUUCCCCAGCCUCCCCGGCCCUGCCCAGGUGGUGGAGGCGCUGCACAGUGCCUUCCAUGGAGCAAGCCCGGGGCUCCGCAGGGUCCUCAGCAUGAUUCAGAUUUCCUUCCACCCCCAGCUCUAGAUGAUUUGGUAAAACCACAAACAAACAGGCACAAAACAGCCCACAUGGAAUUCUAAAGUUUUAAUUUCAUUUUGGAAUUUAUGCACUCAGAUGAAAUGAUUUAUGAUGAUGUUGAGAAUGGGGAUGAAGGUGGAAACAGCUCCUUGGAAUACGGAUGGAGUUCGAGUGAAUUUGAAAGUUACGAAGAGCAGAGUGACUCGGAGUGCAAGAAUGGGAUUCCCAGGUCCUUCCUGCGCAGCAACCACAAAAAGCAAAUGCAGAAGCUCGUGAAGGCCGCGAAGGACGGCACCAAGGACGGGCUGGAGAGGACCAGGGCAGCCGUGAAGAGGGGCCGCUCCUUCAUCAGGACCAAGUCUCUCAUCGCACAGGAUCACAGAUCUUCUCUUGAGGAAGAACAGAAUCUGUUCAUUGAUGUUGACUGCAAGCACCCGGAAGCCAUCUUGACCCCGAUGCCCGAGGGUUUAUCUCAGCAGCAGGUUGUAAGAAGAUAUAUACUGGGUUCAGUUGUCGACAGUGAAAAGAACUACGUAGAUGCUCUUAAGAGGAUUUUGGAGCAAUAUGAGAAGCCGCUGUCUGAGAUGGAGCCAAAGGUUCUGAGUGAGAGGAAGCUGAAGACGGUGUUCUACCGAGUCAAAGAGAUCCUGCAGUGCCACUCGCUGUUUCAGAUCGCGCUGGCCAGCCGCGUUUCCGAGUGGGACUCCGUGGAAAUGAUAGGCGAUGUCUUCGUGGCUUCGUUUUCUAAGUCCAUGGUGCUGGAUGCAUACAGUGAAUAUGUGAACAAUUUCAGCACAGCCGUGGCAGUCCUCAAGAAAACAUGUGCCACAAAGCCCGCUUUUCUUGAAUUUUUAAAGCAGGAACAGGAGGCCAGCCCCGAUCGAACGACGCUCUACAGCCUGAUGAUGAAGCCCAUCCAGAGGUUCCCACAGUUCAUCCUCCUGCUCCAGGACAUGCUGAAGAACACCUCCAAAGGCCACCCCGACAGGCUGCCUCUUCAGAUGGCCCUGACAGAGCUUGAAACACUAGCAGAGAAGUUAAAUGAAAGGAAGAGAGAUGCUGAUCAACGCUGUGAAGUGAAGCAAAUAGCCAAAGCCAUAAACGAAAGAUACCUGAACAAGCUUCUCAGCAGUGGAAGCCGAUACCUCAUUCGAUCAGAUGAUAUGAUAGAAACAGUUUACAACGACAGAGGAGAGAUUGUUAAAACCAAAGAACGCCGAGUCUUCAUGUUAAAUGAUGUGUUAAUGUGUGCCACCGUCAGCUCACGCCCCUCUCAUGACAGCCGUGUGAUGAGCAGCCAGAGGUACUUGCUGAAGUGGAGCGUUCCACUGGGACACGUGGACGCCAUCGAGUAUGGCAGCAGCCCAGGCACGGGCGAGCACAGCAGGCACCUUGCCAUUCACCCGCCGGAGAGCCUGGCCGUGGUUGCUAACGCGAAACCAAACAAAGUUUACAUGGGGCCAGGACAACUGUAUCAAGAUUUACAAAACUUGUUGCAUGACUUAAAUGUAAUUGGCCAAAUCACUCAGCUGAUAGGAAACCUUAAAGGAAACUAUCAGAACUUAAACCAGUCAGUAGCCCAUGACUGGACAUCAGGUUUACAAAGGCUUAUUUUGAAGAAAGAAGAUGAAAUCAGAGCUGCGGACUGCUGCAGAAUUCAGUUACAGCUUCCCGGGAAGCAGGACAAAUCUGGGCGACCGACGUUCUUUACAGCUGUGUUCAAUACGUUCACCCCUGCCAUCAAGGAGUCCUGGGUCAACAGCUUACAGAUGGCCAAGCUCGCCCUAGAGGAGAACCACAUGGGCUGGUUCUGUGUGGAAGACGAUGGGAAUCACAUUAAAAAGGAGAAGCAUCCUCUCCUCGUCGGACACAUGCCCGUGAUGGUGGCCAAGCAGCAGGAGUUCAAGAUUGAAUGUGCUGCUUAUAACCCUGAACCUUACCUAAAUAAUGAAAGCCAGCCAGAUUCAUUUUCCACGGCACAUGGUUUCCUGUGGGUAAGAUGUGUUUAUUUGGUUUUGGUGCAAGUUCACAGAGAAUCAACGUUCAUGGUUGGUGUGAUGAGAGACUGAGAUGUGAAUUGCUCAGCAGAGAGUUGGCGGUGGCGUAUCCCAGAGUGUACUUAGAAACAUGAAAACUUCUUUGAAAGGGAGCUGAUCACUUUUGGAAAAGAUUUACAGUUCUUAGGAAUGCAAAUAUUUGUUUCUUUUCCUUUUCAUCUAAAACAUUUACCAGAUAAAGUUCAGUCCAGAGACAAGUAACUAAUAAGAGAAUAAUUUUAAUAUGUUUUUCCAUUUUGGUGUCAACAUUGCAUGGAUUUUUUUUCUUGUUCCAAGACUGGCUUUUUCCAGUGGAAACUUAGCAGUUAAAAUUAAUUUGUUCCAAAUGAAAUAUUGCAUCUGAAAUUAGGCUGGAAUUGCAGUAGACGUUCCUGGUUCUUGCAAACCAGAGGACAUUCUUGAAGCUGUGUGGUCCCAGGCUCUCCCCUCUCUGGUUUCCUGUGUUCCCUCCCUGCAGCCUCAGACUCGCCCUCCAGGGCUCCACUGUGCUUUUCCAAACUCUCAUUCUUUCCUCCCAGGCGUCUUGUGCAGCACACCACUGCCUCUCACUUCUCACAGCCACAGCUCCUGCUUGGUCAGUGUUCCUAGUUGAGUGUCAGAAAUUGAACAACCCAAUUAGCUGGUAUUUCAUUUGUACCAACCUAUGAAUGGAGGAGUAGCCUUAAUUCCCUUGGGGGCUUCCACUUCUAAGAGAACUGUUUUCCGUCCAGGUAGGCAGACCUGUCAACGCUGAAGCUUCAUCCCCUGGCCUGGUCAUAGCCCCCAGGCCCUGUAGGCAGGACAGGGGCUUGGCAGAUUGGCAUCCUUCCCACAAAAGCAUGAAAGUAGGAUGUCUGUAUGUAGCGACAACAAAUACAAGAAUAAGGAGAGUUUAACAACAUUCUCAAAGUUGGUGGAAAAGAAAAAGAAUCAAUGAAAACACCACCCUAAACCAGCUAGUGCUUUCUGUUUACAGGGAUCAGACCCCUUUCCCACUUAAAAUAAAUA